UACAGAGGGUGCGAGCGUUAAUCGGAAUUACUGGGCGUAAAGCGCACGUAGGCGGCUUGUUAAGUCAGGGGUGAAAUCCUGGAGCUCAACUCCAGAACUGCCUUUGAUACUGGCGAGCUUGAGUUCGGGAGAGGUGAGUGGAACUGCGAGUGUAGAGGUGAAAUUCGUAGAUAUUCGCAAGAACACCAGUGGCGAAGGCGGCUCACUGGCCCGAUACUGACGCUGAGGUGCGAAAGCGUGGGGAGCAAACAGG
rnacentral:rRNA from 1 species